UGUGCAGUUUUUUUAUUCAAAUCCGUAGAUGUUGUAACGUGAUUGGGCAGGCAAGCUGUUUAUAUAGUGGCAAAGCGGACGUGAAAACAGGCUGUCCCCACUCAGGUCCGCAAGGAGCUGGAAGGGGCGUGGCCUCCAGCUCUGGCUGAAUUUCGGGAGAAAAUUUCUACCGGGAGGUUUUCGGGAGAGGCGCUGAAUUUCGGGAGUCUCCCGGAAAAUCCGGAAGGGUUGGCAAGAACUGAGCGUUGAUCUUGAACUCAGGGGCAGGCUUGCCCUGCUCCGUGGCGGCCUGUCUGCGCUCCUCGAUGCCCCGGAACAGGUGGUUGACGGCCCUGGGAAUGAUGCCCAGCUCCUCCUCGCCGAUGUUGACGUCAAGGCCCGUUCCCAUUGUGUACGUCUUCCCCGAACCGGUCUGGAGAGGACACAGAAAGAAACAAGGCACCAUUAGAGACUUGGUACAAAGGAAGGUCUGCACACCACAGCAAGCGGCUGCAUUGACUGAUGCUACCUAAAUAUGUUGCUAACUGACAUGGGGCCACCGUCAAUGGUGGAGGAUGAAGGUUUUAGAAAAAGGAUUCACGUACUCAACCCUGGUUACACUCUUCCCUCAAGGACCCAUUAUACCAAACUGAUGGAGAGGAAGUAUGAGCAAACAUUCCAUGCAGUGUAGACUGACAUAAAAGCCACACAGAGCAAAUUGCUCUCACUACUGAUGUGUGGACAAGUGUAGCCUACUUAAAGCCUAAAUAAUGUAAAUAAAUCAAUGUAUAUACUAUGAUGAUUAACUUGUGUGAUGACUGUAUUAUGUUGAUAGUAUAUAUUUGUACCAUGAAUUGAUUAACGUGGACCCCGACUUAAACAAGUUGAAAAACUUAUUCGGGUGUUACCAUUUAGUGGUCAAUUCUACGGAAUAUGUACUGAACUGUGCAAUCUACUAAUAAAAAUUAAAAAAAAGUAUGGCAAUUCAUGCCGUUACAUUGGAGACGAAUGGAACAUGAAGUCAAUCUGCCUUACGAUCAUGCCACUAAAGAAAGACAUUCAGUAUCCAACAUUGCAGAAUGGUUGGAAUAAGUGGUAGACAGGUUUGAAAUUCCCCUAAGCAAAAUUAUUGCUAAUAUGCAUGACAAUUGUGCACUUUAUAAAAAUAAAAAAUACAUUUUUGUAACACUUGCCUUGUUUUAUUUGGCAAGUCGAAAGAACAUGGUGCCAGUAUGCUGUUUUUUAAAAUAAAG